GACGAACGCUGGCGGCGUGCUUAACACAUGCAAGUCGAACGGAAAGGCCCUGCUUUUGUGGGUUGCUCGAGUGCCGAACGGGUGAGUAACACGUGAGUAACCUGCCCUUGACUUUGGGAUAACUUCAGGAAACUGGGGCUAAUACCGGAUAGGAGCUCCUGCUGCAUGGUGGGGGUUGGAAAGUUUCGGCGGUUGGGGAUGGACUCGCGGCUUAUCCGCUUGUUGGUGGGGUAGUGGCUUACCAAGGCUUUGACGGGUAGCCGGCCUGAGAGGGUGACCGGCCACAUUGGUACUGAGAUACGGCCCAGACUCCUACGGGAGGCAGCAGUGGGGAAUAUUGCACAAUGGGCGGGAGCCUGAUGCAACAACGCCGCGUGCGGGAUGACGGCCUUCGGGUUGUAAACCGCUUUCGCCUGUGACGAAGCGUGAGUGACGGUAAUGGGUAAAGAAGCACCGGCUAACUACGUG
rnacentral:rRNA from 1 species